GACGAGGGGUCCUAGCGUUGUUCGGAAUCACUGGGCGUAAAGCGCAUGUAGGCGGCUUGGUAAGUCAGUUGUGAAAGCCCUGGGCUCAACCCAGGAAGUGCAUCUGAUACUGCUAAGCUUGAAUAUGGGAGAGGGUAGUGGAAUUCCUGGUGUAGUGGUGAAAUACGUAGAUAUCAGGAGGAACACCGGCGGCGAAGGCGGCUACCUGGCCCAAUAUUGACGCUGAGAUGCGAAAGCGUGGGGAUCAAACAGG
rnacentral:rRNA from 1 species